rnacentral:lncRNA from 1 species
GACAGAAAUGUUCAUACUCGAAAGGAUAUGAAACUGGAAGCAAUAUGACCACAUCAGUGCUGCUACUCAACCAAACUGAUUUGCUUAGCAAAGUGGUGCAGGAUUUUGGAAUAAGGUACUGUCCACACAGCAUGAAUGUAGCCACAGAAUCACAGAAUUACAGAAUGGCCUGUGUUGAAAAGGACCAGAAUGAUCAUCUAGUUUCAACCCCCCUGCCACAGGCAAGGUCACCAACCACUAGAAUUUGAGUUAGAAUUCAACUGAGAACACACUCAACUUAGAACUCAUUCUAAGUUCCAACUUAAAAUGUUGUUACAAUGAGUUUUUGUAUCGCUCUCUUUUGCAAAAGAUGGUCUGAAAGUCCAUAUUUAUCCCAUCUAGCCUCAGGCACCAAAUCGAGAUAUAUUUCCUUUAGUUUCACUGUACAAUAAACUAAGAGAAAUAGACACUUUCUUGUAUCAUUCGUGUCUUCAGUGAAUCCUAAAACAUAAGCUGAUAUUUUAUUUAAGUGCUUUGAAAAUAUUGCCUCUACUAUUUUUCUUAUUUCCCUAGUUUUGAACAUGAUUCAGAAUUAGAAGAUGAUGUUUUAAUUUCUUCCUUCUUCCAUACUUGUUUUCAUUUAUUUAUCAAUGAGUGAUACAUUAUGUACAAAACUGUAGGCAAAAGAUAUAGACUGUCUGUUUACUCCAUAUUCUUUGCCAAAAAAAUUCAAGGUCAAAAAUGGAAAGCAUACUACAUAUGAAUUUACUUCACAGUGCCCUGGAUCCAGCUUGAAUUAGAAACAUUUUGUUUAAUAAUUUUCCAUCUGGAAGCAACAAGGAAAACUGGUUCAUUUCACAUUUCUGAAUUCCAAAGCCAUGUAGGAAAAAGCCAUAAUCAUUCACAGAGAGAGGCGAACAGUGCACUGGAUCCAGAAGGUACUGAACACUUUAUGCUGAAGUAAUUGAUGUGACUUUUUCAGAAAAUGACCCCAGCACCUGGAGCUUGCAUUCCAUGUGGGGAUGACAGACGAGCAGGCAGCAACAUGGUUUAUUUCAAAGCAUAUUGCUCUUGGGUGCUGCUUGGCUUUGAUCCAUCAGCUUCUCCUUAUUCUUCUAAAUGCAACCUAUUGACUAACCACACGGAACAGAAACUAAAAGAAUGUAAAAAUUAUAAGAUGCACACACGUGGAUGUACAAUACUGCAGCUAUUUUCACUGGGAUUACAGAAUCAGCACUUGUAAAGGUAUGGCAUCAAAACACAUUUUGAAAACCACUGAGCAGCAAUUAAAAUAAUAUAGAAGCUCACUCAGGAAUUGUUGCAUGUGUACAUUAUGUAGGAGGAUUCUGGUAGUAAGUAUUCUCUUAAUAGUAUUUAGUCUUGUGCAGGGUCAUUGCAAAAAAUUUGUGUUGGAAGAAGAUGUCAGAAAGAGCACCACACUUUUAUUUCAGUCUUUCCUUCAUCUCUCCCUGCCCUUCAAAGGACUGCAGGGUUCCAGAAGGUAUGUAGAGUAAGUGCACUGUCAAAAUUUCAUUUUUAUGUGCAUAAGUAGGCUUCAAAGAGUAAGAUAUUAAAACCAGGGAGUGUGGAUUCCAGCAGGCAGGAAAAUGUCUUUCACAUACACUAAGUGAAGCUUAGACCAAGUGUAGAUCACUUUGCAGUCAGAAUGCAAGGUCUGCCAUUUCUGGAUCAUAAUCAAACUAACAAUUUACAAGAAGAAAUCCUCAUGUUCUGCUUCUAAAAAGUGAGUAAAUAUAUGAAGUGUUUUGAUUUAUUUGUAUAAAACUAACAGAACUAGUUUCUUAACCAAAUAUCUCAAGUCUUCAGAUAAAAAGGAAUGCUGUAAAAAUGUAUUUCUGCAACAGCCAUUGCCAUGUGUUUUUUCUUUGCCUUCUAGGACAAGGCCAAUCAUGUCUGGAGGCAGCACAAGAGAAUGCAGUUUGCGUUACUAUCAAUAGAGGAGAGAUGCUCUGAGAGUGGAAAUACAGGGGAAAGUGCUUUACUGAAAUUCUCUUGCUUAUUCUCUGUGUAACUUGCACAGGUAGUCUGUGCCUUGAAGCCUGAAUGAGUAUGUCAGUGUUGGCCAAAAUAUCGUCUAUUAUCUAAUACACUAUUAUUAAUAAAACAUUCUGGAUACAGCA